UAGGGAAUAUUGCGCAAUGGACGCAAGUCUGACGCAGCAACGCCGCGUGGGUGAUGAAGCUCCUUGGAGUGUAAAACCCUGUCAGUGGGGAAGAAACGUACGGGUAGUAACUGACUCGUGCCUGACGGUACCCACAGAGGAAGUCCCGGCUAACUCCGUGCCAGCAGCCGCGGUAAUACGGGGGGGACUAGCGUUGUUCGGAUUUACUGGGCGUAAAGGGCGCGUAGGCGGACCUUCAAGUCGGGUGUGAAACCUGUCGGCUUAACUGACAGCCUGCACUUGAUACUGUUGGCCUUGAGUACAGGAGAGGAGAGCGGAAUUCCUGGUGUAGCGGUGAAAUGCGUAGAUAUCAGGAAGAACACCGGUUGCGAAGGCGGCUCUCUGGACUGAUACUGACGCUUAAGCGCGAAGGCUUGGGGAGCAAACAGG
rnacentral:rRNA from 1 species